rnacentral:rRNA from 1 species
UACAGAGGUGGCAAGCGUUGUUCGGAAUUACUGGGCGUAAAGGGCGCGUAGGCGGCCGCCUAAGUCAGACGUGAAAUCCCCAAGCUUAACUUGGGAACUGCGUCUGAUACUGGGUGGCUUGAGUUCGGGAGAGGAAUGUGGAAUUCCAGGUGUAGCGGUGAAAUUCGUAGAUAUUAGGAAGAACACCAGUGGCGAAGGCGGCUCACUGGCCCGGUACUGACGCUGAGGCGCGAAAGCGUGGGGAGCAAACAGG